GCGUCGGUGGCUCAGUUGGUUAAGUGUCCGACUUUAGCUCAGGUCAUGAUUUUGUGGUUCAUGGGUUCGAGUCCCAUCUCAGGCU
rnacentral:tRNA from 1 species